GCUGACAGAAACAGAAGCAAAUUUCCCUCCAGAAUAUGAAAAAUUUUGGAAAACUGUAGAAAAUAAUCCUCAGGAUUUUACAGGCUGGGUAUAUUUGCUUCAAUAUGUAGAACAGGAGAAUCACUUGAUGGCUGCCAGGAAGGCAUUUGACAGAUUUUUCAUACACUAUCCGUAUUGCUAUGGUUACUGGAAGAAGUAUGCAGACCUUGAAAAGCGGCACGACAACAUUAAACCAUCAGAUGAGGUGCGUUAAACCUCUACAGUUUGUCAAGCUUUGCAGUGCAAGCCUCUGUAUUACACUGCAGCUUAACAAGUAGGGCAGGGCUUUUCUCUCACUUACAUUUAUUUCUCAUUUUCCAAACAAUAUAGUUGGUUUGCUAGUCACAUUUGCUACGUCUUAUUGCAUUUUUGGUCAGACGCUGUCAUUGAUGCUCUAAUGGGUCUGUGCCCUAUGGUCUGUAACCCAAAGCCUGCCCACACAACCCGGUCAGAAUGCAGGGACUGCUGCGCUUUGAAGAUCAAGACUCUGCACGUGGGGAUCAGAACAUUGCCAUGUUCUAUCCAACCUCCACCCAAAUGGUAAUGGUAGAUUAUUUAAACAAAAUUCCAGUAAUUAGUAUUUCUAAGGUUCACCGGAUAACACAGUGUUGCCUCUCUGUUAAGAAAUAAUUAAAUAUUUGAAGUACA
rnacentral:sRNA from 1 species